CGCGAGCAGCUCGAACGUUUACGUGUGUGAGGUAUAUACAAGAGAGUACGUGGAGAAUUUUAAUUGAUGGACUUGCGGCUGGUGUGGGGAUUUCGUUGCAGAGAUGGAUGAAAUACUGAAUCCCAACUAUGGUGAAGAAUAUCAUCAGACUCUUCAAUCGGAUUAGUUGUGUAACGAUUACAUGUUCAGAAUAUAAAGUGUAAUAGUUACAAGCAAAGUAUGUAUAUCGCAGAAGCUACUGCAAUAACGAACUAUAUUGCGCUUUACAGGUGUUACGUUUGCUAAAUACUAUAAGGCGGGAAGUUGCAGUUUCGAGGAGCUAGGACUUACCACGGUGAACUUAUAACCAUUUUUUUUUUACAAUAAUAUCACACAUAUCCUCCGAUUAGUAUAAAAGACCUGCGUUAGUUUAUGAUGUCAAACAUGGCCAGUGAAAGGGACCGUUGCUUAGUCGAGCUCUCUUUUUCUUUCUCACUGUUAUUGCUUAUAUUAGUGCAGUAAAAGACAAGGACAUGAUCCAUUCGCUUUUCCGAAAGGUUAUUUUGUUUAUUUUAGGUA